UACAGAGGUCCCAAGCGUUGUUCGGAUUCACUGGGCGUAAAGGGUGCGUAGGUGGCGAGGUAAGUCGGAUGUGAAAUCUCCGAGCUCAACUCGGAAAUGGCAUUGGAAACUACCUUGCUUGAGGACUGGAGAGGAGACUGGAAUUCAUGGUGUAGCAGUGAAAUGCGUAGAGAUCAUGAGGAAGACCAGUGGCGAAGGCGGGUCUCUGGACAGUUCCUGACACUGAGGCACGAAGGCCAGGGGAGCAAACGGG
rnacentral:rRNA from 1 species